UUUUGAAAAUAUGAUAGCAGGAAAAUAACAUUGCUCUAUGUAUAUAUUGAUUAUGGGCAUGGCUGAAUUACUCCUGGUUCUGGUAUUGUGCACGAUGACUCUCUGACUGGCACACCUAAAUGCAACUGAGCCACCAUUAAUGUUAUUAAUUGAUUUUGAUGUGCCCCACCUCCAAUGUUUAUCUAAGCAGCCUCAGAUUGUGAUUCAGCUCCAGGCACUGUAAGCCCCCGCAGGACUUCACUUGACUCAACUUUAUUGCCCUGCACAGAUGAGUUUAUGACCUGCAUGUCUCCUACAAGGUAGAAAACACCUGAGAUAGUGCACACAAACACCAAGGUCAUUGAAAAUGGCUUAAUGGAUUCUAGGUCCUGUACAGUAAUACUGUUACAUAACAGUUACGUUAGGCUAACAUUAAAGAAGCACAAAGUUCAGGACUCCAUAAAAACUAUUUUAAUACUGUAAUAUUAAACUGCAGCCCAACUUUUAAAUGAUUCAUUCACAGCUAUGACCUUUGCAUCCAUGAAAACCUGAGGAUUUAAAAAGCAUCACAAAGAGAGUAAAAGAAAACAGUCCUGAGCUUGAAAAACUAUGGAUACUGUAUUGCCAGAAUGAAUAAUUAAUGUAAUGAAAGUAAAAUAAAUAAUCUUGUUAGUGAACAUUUUGCAGAUAUGUCCAGCAACAUUUUGUGACUUGGCACAUACUGUAUAUUCAUUAUCAGUGUUUCCUCAUUAUUGUGAUAAAAACUUGAAUUCAGGUUCAAAUAAUAUGUUUAGACCAAAAAUUUAUUUGCUGUUGCAAAUUGAGCAUUUGGAUAUUUGCAUGCAAAUAUGACACAUUAGGACUAUAAGGUAAGGAAAACUUUAGACUUUAAAGUCAAAAUGUUGCCUCUCAGGAAAGGCUCAAGAGAGAAGCUUAAAUCUGCGCAUGUGCAGAAAUUACUUUAAUAUUAAACCACAUUUCAUGAGUCUUUUCCCCCAACAACUGGAAUGAACCGGUUAGAUUCACACCGCUAUCACCCAUUUGUCUAAAUAACUUUAACAAUGCGUCUCUGUGCAGAUUUUUUCCUGUUAACAUAGACACAAAUCACAUGGUAGAAAAACAGAAAGGGAAACAGAUAGAGAAACUUUGAAAACCUUUGUUCACAAUUGUAAAAAAAAAAAAAACCUUGUGUCCGCAGCAUGAACCUCUGCGUCAUGUCCGCAAACUGAACCUCUCAUAGCUUCUCAGCAGAACUUCAAGGUGACACACUAUACUUGGCUGGACUUUUUCACAGGGGCUAAUGCAAGCCAGUACACAGCUGCACGUGCACAUGUAAACAUUGAGUCAUGAGUCAGGGAUGCAAUCACCAACCCCCUCGCUCCCCCCCAUCACACCACCUCAUCCAACAUGAGCCAAUGGGAGAAGCACAACACACCUCAUGCACUGGUCUUCUGGAGCUCCACAUACCAAAGCUGCCUGAGGCCACAAAACAAACACGCACUGCAAAAAUAUAUAUGUUUAACCAAUGAAAUGCAGCUAAAUAGGCGUAAAGUAUCAACAUCAGUGAUACAUUAUAAUGCAAAAAAAUUUAUAUUUUCAUACAACUUAAUGAGGUGUAAAGUAUGAAUGUACUUUUUAAAAAGCUUAUUGAAAUGACCUCCUUCUACUAGAUGGCUUAAGUAACUUUGACACAACUUCAUGUGAUGUGCUAUUUGCCCUAAAGUGAAUGGAAGAUUUUGCUUCACUUGUGUGAUAUUUCACAAUACCUUGACUGUAUAAACAAUGGUUCUUCACAAUAAACUAGGAGACAUGCUGCAGGUUUAUGAUAAACAGA